GCACCUCCCUGCUGUCCAAGAACCUUUUAGAAUUAACAGACCACUAGCUUCUACCAGCCCUGAAGUUCAGACAGCAUCCUGGGCCUAUAGAAAAGCUUCCUGCAUCUUGCUGUGCCCGAUGCGUUUUUAAACUUUGAGUGCAGCCUGUAUGGCCCCACCAGGAAGGUGAUGAAGGGAGAGAGAGGAAGUCCAGAGAGAUGUCGAGAAAGAAGGUUGCUUAUUCUUUUGACCAUUGACAACAGGAGUACAUGGAUCGAGAACACAACUUAGGUGUCCUGCCACCUGGAGAGUGUGGACCCAAAGUCUACAGCCAAUCAGAGCAUAAAGGCUGAACAAGGCAUCCAAUCAAGGUGAAAGUGAGGAGAAGGGUCUUUUACAGCCUGGCCUGGACUCAAACUCUGGAGGGACUUGAAGUCCUGAUUCACUGCUUCCCUAUCCAUGGACUGAAAUUACAGGCUUGUGCCAAGACACCUAGCCAUUUUGUUUUGUUUUGUUCAAAAGAGUCUUUCUAUGAAGCUGCAGCUGGUGGCCUGGUACUUUCUUUGUGGCCUAGGUGGCAACAAACUGACCAUUCUCUCAUUUUUUUGCAGCAGUUUCCUCCUAGAUGGAAACAUUUUAUCCUGCAGGGCAGCUCCUUAAACCAGAAGAUGAACAACUCAAAUAACUUCAGAGAGUCCAUGAAAAAGAUCAGAUUCACUAGGUCCGGGCUUCCAAGAGUAAACAGUAAACCUGCUCAGAAUCUCUCUCAGACAAGCCAAAAUGGAGACUGUGAGACCAGAACAGCCAGCCACCUGGAAGAAGCAGCAACCAAUGGAACUGCCUGGAAGAGGAUUAGACCAACAGAGGCACUUGGAAAGAAUGGAUCUUGUCCAACAUGUUAAGUUGCCUGCAGGCUGUACAGUGUGCCCCAGGUUUCCAGUUUUUGUGAGCCUCACCCAUGCUGGGGUGAUCUUUGGUUAUGCAGCUUCUUUGAGUCAUUUCUGCUCUGGUUAGUAACCCCACACCUGUACUUCUGUAAGCAACCCCAAUUAAACAGUUGGUUCACCAAGUAGGACUUCAGUGGUAUCCGUACUUUCUGUGCUCCCUGUCUGGGGUAAGUAGGCAUGUGUGUUGUAUCUACCAAGGAAAUAACACUUCUGUCACAUGACA